rnacentral:lncRNA from 1 species
CCGCCAUCUCAGAUCUCGGCCUUGCGCAGGGCCCACCAGAGGAAAUUAACGCUCUGGUCCUGUCAUACCUAUGGGGGACCAACCUUGUGCCUCCGGGAGAUCCACGCUCCCACCAGGAAACACGCGGGAACCCAAGCCUCCAAAAAAGCGCUGUGUCCUGGCUCCGCGGUGGGAUUAUCCUGAAGGGACUCCCAGUGGAGGUAGUACCACUCUCCCCUCGGCGCCUCCUCCGGCAUCUACUGGACUCAAGUCGCACCCUCCUCCUCCGGAGAAGUAGUGAAAUAGAUUUUUUUCCCAGACGAAAUCAGUCUGUGAGGGAUUGCAGUAUGGUUCCGUUUCCUUGGUGCGUUUGUAAAAUAGUUUACCCAUUGAAGACCAUGAAGAUUCUUUCCAAUGCUACCCUGCUUUUGCUGGUGUCCUGCACCUGGAAGUUGUGAUGCUAAAGUAUUAUGAUGUAAUGACUGUGAUUUCACCUCCAGAAUUUGGAUGACUCUAGGACAUGGGCAAGAUCAGGUUGUAGACUUCUAGGACUGAAGGCCAUGGUGUGUGUGGAUCAUGGUCAACUCACCAAAGCAAGUAAUGCCCUUGAGAUGACCCUGCAGAAGCUUGUCAUUGCUCUCUUUUGUUGACACCCAGUCUUUGCUGUAUUACAUUAAAGUUGCAUAAAUCCAUUAAUGUCCAAAUAAAUCGUGUCUUAUGGCAACGUUAGAACUA